GAGGAGAGUUCUGGCUACUACUACAACCCUCUAACUGGACUCUCUACGACCCUAACUCACAGUACUACUAUAACGGGGUCACUCAGCAGUAUAUGUACUGGGACGGAGAGAAGCAAACAUAUGUUCCAGCUCCCGCCCAAUCAACAGCUGAGGCUGCCGUUGCCCCCGGUGAUAAGUCCACCCCCCCUGAUCCUCCCUCUGCUGCUCCUGGAGGCAAGGAGAAGAAGCCCAAAAACAAGACAGCUCAACAGAUAGCAAAGGACAUGGAGCGUUGGGCUAAGAGUCAGAACAGACAGAAGGAGAACGUUCGCUCUCUCCCUCUUCCUCCUCUUCCUCCUCUCCGUGACCCCUGGACCUCUAUGGC